rnacentral:lncRNA from 1 species
GCCAGACAAGCCGCAGGAGUGAGCGAGGCCGGCUGCGCAUGUGAAGCUCGCGUGCCCGGCGACCCGUCUCUUUUGGAUGUAGCCCGUCUUUUGGGCUCCCGGCGUUCUCUUGUGUUCCGUCUGCAUUUCGACACGGCACCGAUGCACUAGUGGACUACAGCAAGCUGAAGGCAUCUGGUGGAGCUUCGUACGGCAACGACUGCUGCUUACCUGGUGCCAAAAAUUUGGAAGAAUGCAGAAGCCCGGAACGAGCAUUUAUAUAGAGCAAAAUAAACAUUUCAUCAUUUCAGAA